rnacentral:ncRNA from 2 species
UCGAUGCCGGCCUCGGCCGGUGUCGACAUCGAGCGUCGCACGCUUGAAGAGGUGCGACGUGAGAGGGAAUCCGGUGAGAAUCCGGGACUGUCCCGCAGCGGUAUGCAGGAACGACCGCCGUCAUCAGCACUGGCACGCAGAACACUGCGGCUGGGAAGCGACGGCCACUAGGUGCACGAACAUCGUGCGUGCCUGCGAGUCCGAAGACCUGCCGGUUGUACCGGGCGCGC